UACGGGAGUGGCAAGCGUUAUCCGGAAUUAUUGGGCGUAAAGCGUCCGCAGGUGGCUUACCAAGUCUGUUGUUAAAGCCCAGGGCUCAACCCUGGAUCAGCAAUGGAAACUGGUAGGCUAGAGUGCGGUAGGGGCAGAGGGAAUUCCCAGUGUAGCGGUGAAAUGCGUAGAUAUUGGGAAGAACACCAGUGGCGAAGGCGCUCAGCUGGGCCGUAACUGACACUGAGGGACGAAAGCCAGGGG
rnacentral:rRNA from 1 species